rnacentral:rRNA from 1 species
CCUACGGGAGGCAGCAGUGGGGAAUAUUGCGCAAUGGGCGGAAGCCUGACGCAGCGACGCCGCGUGAGGGAUGACGGCCUUCGGGUUGUAAACCUCUUUCAGCAGGGACGAAGCGGGAGUGACGGUACCUGCAGAAGAAGCACCGGCCAACUACGUGCCAGCAGCCGCGGUAAUACGUAGGGUGCAAGCGUUGUCCGGAAUUAUUGGGCGUAAAGAGCUCGUAGGCGGCUUGUCGCGUCGGCUGUGAAAACCCGGGGCUCAACCCCGGGCCUGCAGUCGAUACGGGCAGGCUAGAGUCCGGUAGGGGAGACUGGAAUUCCUGGUGUAGCGGUGAAAUGCGCAGAUAUCAGGAGGAACACCGGUGGCGAAGGCGGGUCUCUGGGCCGGAACUGACGCUAAGGAGCGAAAGCGUGGGGAGCGAACAGGAUUAGAUACCCUGG